rnacentral:rRNA from 1 species
UACGUAGGGGGCAAGCGUUAUCCGGAUUUACUGGGUGUAAAGGGAGCGUAGACGGUAAAGCAAGUCUGAAGUGAAAUGCCAGUGCUCAACACUGGAACUGCUUUGGAAACUGUUUGGCUGGAGUGCAGGAGAGGUAAGUGGAAUUCCUAGUGUAGCGGUGAAAUGCGUAGAUAUUAGGAGGAACACCAGUGGCGAGGGCGGCUUACUGGACUGUAACUGACGUUGAGGCUCGAAAGCGUGGGGAGCAAACAGG